rnacentral:ncRNA from 1 species
CAAAGUUUUGGUCCUAAACUUGCCGUUGUUUUUUAUCAAAAUUAUACAUGCAAGCCUCCACAAACCAGUGAGAAUGCCCACAUACCCCAAACAGCCAACCGGAGCGGGCAUCAGGAUACAGCCGAUAUUAAGCCAAAGACGCCUUGCAAACGCCACACCCACACGGGCCUUCAGCAGUAAUUAACAUUAAAACAUGAGCGAAAGCUCGACUUAGUUAUGAUCAAUAUGGUCGGUAAAUUUCGUGCCAGCCACCGCGGUUAUACGAAAGACCAAAAACAACGGCCUACGGCGUAAAGCGUGACUAGAGACAACUAAAAUAAUUAAAGGGGCACAACUGCCAAGUCGUAAAACACUACUGCACGUUAGAACAACAACAACUAAAUGCCUUUAAAACCACUUUACCUCACGAAAGCUAAGAAACAAACUGGGAUUAGAUACCCCACUAUGCUCAGCCCUAAACAUAGAUAGUAUAAACACAAGACUAUCCGCCAGAGAACUACAAGCGAAAAGCUGAAAACUCCAAGGACUUGGCGGUGCUUCAAAUCAACCUAGAGGAGCCUGUCCUAUAAUCGAUACUCCACGUUUCACCUUACCCCCCCUAGCCAACCAGUCUAUAUACCGCCGUCGACAGCCUACCUUAUGAAAGAAACAAAGUGAGCAAAAAAGUUAAUAACUAACACGUCAGGUCAAGGUGUAGCACACGGAGGGGCAGAGAUGGGCUACAUUUUUUCAAAGGAAAAAACACGAAUAGUAAAUUGAAACAAGUACUUAAAGGCGGAUUUAGUAGUAAGACAAGAUAUAAUGCUCGUCUUAAACCUGCUCUGAAGCGCGCACACACCGCCCGUCACCCUCAUCAUAUACCACACCACAUAAAAUAUAACACAGAACAAA